UUUUGGAGGGAAAUUGUGGUGCCAGCAGCUAGGGUAAUUCUAGUUCCAAUAGGGUAUAUUAAAGUUGUUGCAUGUUAAAAAGCUCGUAGUUGAAUUUCGGGGGUUCUACGUUGGUCCAGGCAAUUGUCUGUACUGGCCUGUAUAAUUCCUCCCUUUUGGGGAACUAUCAUGUUAUUAAUUUGGCGUGGCAGGAAACCAGGACCUUACCUUGAAAAAA
rnacentral:rRNA from 1 species